rnacentral:rRNA from 1 species
UACGUAGGGGGCAAGCGUUGUCCGGAAUCAUUGGGCGUAAAGCGCGCGUAGGCGGUCAGGUAAGUCCGGUGUGAAAGUCAUAGGCUCAACCUAUGGAUGCCGCUGGAAACUGCCUGACUUGAGUCCGGGAGGGGCGAGUGGAAUUCCUGGUGUAGCGGUGAAAUGCGCAGAUAUCAGGAGGAACACCGGUGGCGAAGGCGGAUCUCUGGGCCGAUACUGACGCUGAGGAGCGAAAGCGUGGGGAGCGAACAGG